rnacentral:lncRNA from 1 species
GUACUGUGGUGUUGGGGUUAGGUACUGUACUGUGGUGUUGGGGUUAGGUACUGUGGUGUUGGGGUUAGGUACUGUGCUGUGGUGUUGGAGUUAGGUACUGUGGUGUUGGGGUUAGGUACUGUACUGUGGUGUUGGGGUUAGGUACUGUGGUGUUGGGGUUAGGUACUGUUCUGUGGUGUUGGGGUUAGGUACGGUACUGUGGUGUUGGGGUUAGGUACUGUACUGUGGUGUUGGAGUUAGGUACUGUGGUGUUGGGGUUAGGUACUGUACUGUGGUGUUGGAGUUAGGUACUGUGGUGUUGGGGUUAGGUACUGUGGUGUUGG